rfam:Patagioenas fasciata monilis isolate BTP2013 Sc31e1R_52, whole genome shotgun sequence.
UUCAAGGCCUUAUUGAAGGCCAUCAUGCAUUUAAAACAAGUUGUUCU